UUUCUUAGUUUUAAUUGGAGUUUCGUCUACCGCUUCUCUUGCAAUCUCUAUACCUUCAUCUCCUUCUUUCAAUUCCUACCAAUAUGCGUUUCUUAGCUUCAAUUGAAGUAUUUACAUCGCUUCUGUUCAUUUUUCAUUGUUUAAUCUUUGUUAUGUGUUUACUUUUUUCAUAACACUACCCUUGCAUACGGUGUUUCCUCCGCUGCCGCUCCUCCCCUUUUCUGAAGCCCCUCCCUUCCUCCUUUUUGUUUCCUAAAACCAACCCUCCACUGUUGUGGUUUUCCAAACCCCCCUCCCCCCUUCUGUUUUCUGACCCUCUUCCAUUCUGAUUUCGAAACCUCUUCCCUCUCUCACCUCCCGCAAUUUUGAUUUCGAACGCCCCCUCUCUGAUUUGGAUUUAGAACCCCCCUCCAUUUCGAUUUAGAUUUUGAAGCCAUAUAUGUAUAUUGUUUUGGGGCUUCUUCUUUUUUCUUUUUAUCCUUGUAUAUUGUUUCAUUUUUCUUCAGUAAACAAAUUACGGUUUGAAGCAGAUGGUUUAGCUGAUGAUGCUCCUGAAAUGCAUCACGUUGAAGGAGCUUUUUUGGAAAUGCUUCUUAAGUUCACUUAAUAGGUGUCUUACCAAAAUAUUUCAAGUUGGAGUAGUCUGUCGCUCAAUUUGGCUUGCAUGAAGGCUCUCAGUAUGUCGUUGCUUUUGGUCACCAAAAGAAUACGGUUAUAAUCCUUGGAAUGGACAGAAGGUUUUGCAAGAAUGCAUUGGAGCAGUGAAGCCAUAUUGGAGCAAUUGAUUGAUUUAUAGGCCUUUUUGUAGGUUUAGUAGCAAAAUUUUGAUUCAUAUGUACUUAUUUUAAAUAGCUUGUUGGUACCAAAACAUGUAUGUUCAUUCUAUCAUUAUACAAACCCUUUACCAACAAGUUAGAAGUUAGAAGUUGACCCACUAGGCAAGGCGCGAACGAACUACUUCUUUAUUACUUCCAAACUCGUUCUGGAUCCCCCGAACCUAUCUACUUCGAGACCCUAUUCCGAUACUCUCUCUCCUAAGAAGUCUGACGAUUAUUCAUAUUUCACAGGAAAACUAGAACUGGGGCGAGGCAGUCUCAAAGAAUUUGAGGAGACUUGAAAGGAGAAGUCAAAAAAGAAUCCCUGAGUGGGUUCAGGAGCGAGCCUCGCUCCUCUCAUCACCUAGGUCAAAUCUCACAUUCCUUUUUUCCAAAAGACUUGAGAACUCAUCCAGGGUUCUUUCGCUUCCGAUCGCGCGAGUGAGCCUUGUCUUUUUGCUUGAGUACUGAAUUCGUACUAUUUGAAGUGUUGACGGUUUGUUUCCA